rnacentral:rRNA from 1 species
CCUACGGGGGGCAGCAGUAAGGAAUAUUGGUCAAUGGACGCAAGUCUGAACCAGCCAUGCCGCGUGGAGGAUGAAGGUCCUCUGGAUUGUAAACUUCUUUUAUUUGGGAAGAAACUCCCGAUUUCCAUCGGGAUUGACGGUACCAGAUGAAUAAGCACCGGCUAACUCCGUGCCAGCAGCCGCGGUAAUACGGAGGGUGCAAGCGUUAUCGGGAUACAGUGGGUUUAAAGGGUCCGUAGGGGGACAGGUGAAAUCUCCGGGCUUAACCCGGAAACUGCCAUUGAUACUAGUUGUCUUGAAUACUAUGGAGGUGAGCGGAAUAUGUCAUGUAGCGGUGAAAUGCUUAGAUAUGACAUAGAACACCCAUUGCGAAGGCAGCUCACUACGGAAAUAUUGACGCUGAGGCACGAAAGCGUGGGGAUCAAACAGGAUUAGAUACCCCUGUAGUC